GCAGUCUAGCAUUAUCCCGAAAAUUAAACCAUUUCCUGUGCUAGAUGAGAGAAAUUUUAAUCCACAAUUACCUCCUUGUCUAGCCGCUUAUAGCUUCUGAUCACGCCGCAAAGCCGGUGUUCCCAUACAUCUCUAUGCCCUCGCCACCGCGGCCCAUCUGGUCGUCUGCGAUGCCAUGGAAUCCUGCGACUCCACCGGUAGGACAACACCAAUCAGCUCCGCCGCAUGAACACGCAUCCUGCAGAAAAUGGUUUGACACAGCAAAACAAACUCAGAUCAAUGGAAAGAGACGAGGAUCUAUACGUGGAUGUGCGGUCGCGCCGCCGUCGCCCAUCUGGCCAUUGACGACACUCAUGGAGUCCUGCGACUCCACAGGUUGGAGAGAAGCAGUAAACGCCAAGGAUCCUGUACAAAAUCGAGCUCCUCAGUCAACUCUAUCCAAAUCCGCCAUGGGGAUUAAGCAAGCCAUGACCUGAAGAAAAGGAGGGGGCGGAAGGAAAAAGGGGGGCGGCGGAAUACACAUCCCCAUUGCAGUCAACACCAUUGUUGGACAUCUCGCGGCACAGCACCGGCGCCGCCGUCGUCCGGCGGAGAGAGUGAAUGGGGCCGAGAGGCAGGCUUGUUCUGUCGCUACCGCUUCUCCCACGGGGUUCAGGAUAACACUAGGGGGAGGAGG
rnacentral:lncRNA from 1 species